rnacentral:rRNA from 1 species
UACGAAGGGGGCUGGCGUUGCUCGGAAUCACUGGGCGUAAAGGGUGCGUAGGCGGGUCUUUAAGUCAGAGGUGAAAUCCUGGAGCUCAACUCCAGAACUGCCUUUGAUACUGAGGAUCUUGAGUUCGGGAGAGGUGAGUGGAACUGCGAGUGUAGAGGUGAAAUUCGUAGAUAUUCGCAAGAACACCAGUGGCGAAGGCGGCUCACUGGCCCGAUACUGACGCUGAGGCACGAAAGCGUGGGUAGCAAACAGG